rnacentral:rRNA from 1 species
UACGUAGGGUGCGAGCGUUGCCCGGAUUUAUUGGGCGUAAAGGGCGCGUAGGCGGCUCUGCACGUCCGUUGUGAAAUCGCCCGGCUCAACUGGGCGGGGUCAGCGGAUACGGCGGAGCUUGAGCAAGCUAGGGGGCAAUGGAAUUCCCGGUGUAGUGGUGGAAUGCGUUGAGAUCAGGAGGAACACCGGUGGCGAAGGCGGCCUACUGGGCCAGCACUGACGCUGAGGCGCGAAAGCUCGGGGAGCGAACGGG